rnacentral:rRNA from 1 species
UACGGAGGGUGCAAGCGUUAUCCGGAUUCACUGGGUUUAAAGGGUGCGUAGGUGGGUUGGUAAGUCAGUGGUGAAAUCCCCGAGCUUAACUUGGGAACUGCCAUUGAUACUAUCAGUCUUGAAUACCGUGAAGGUUAGCGGAAUAUGUCAUGUAGCGGUGAAAUGCUUAGAUAUGACAUAGAACACCAAUUGCGAAGGCAGCUGGCUACACGAAUAUUGACACUGAGGCACGAAAGCGUGGGAAUCAAACAGG